rnacentral:rRNA from 1 species
AGAGUUUGGAUCCUGGCUCAGAUUGAACGCUGGCGGCAUGCUUAACACCUGCCAGUCGAACGGUAACCGGACGCUAGGAUCCCUUCCGGGUGACUUUGUCGCUGACGAGUGGCGGACGGGUGAGUAAUACUUAGGAAUCUACCCAGUAGCGGGGGAUAACUCGAAGAAAUUCGAGCUAAUACCGCAUACGACCUACGGGUGAAAGCGGGGGACCUUCGGGCCUCGCACUAUUGGAUGAGCCUAAGUCGGAUUAGCUAGUUGGUAGGGUAAAAGCCUACCAAGGCAACGAUCCGUAGCUGGUCUGAGAGGAUGAUCAGCCACACUGGGACUGAGACACGGCCCAGACUCCUACGGGAGGCAGCAGUGGGGAAUAUUGGACAAUGGGCGCCAGCCUGAUCCAGCAAUGCCGCGUGUGUGAAGAAGGCCUGCGGGCUGUAAAGCACUUUUAUUACGAAAGAAAAACCCGGAGUUAAUACCUCCGGCAUUGACGGUACCUAAAGAAUAAGCACCCGGCUAACUCAGUGCCCGCAGCCGCGGUAAUACUGAGGGUGCGAGCGUUAAUCGGAAUUACUGGGCCUAAAGCCAGCGUAGGCGGCUACCCUAACCCGAUGUGAAAGCCCUGGGCUCCACCCUGGGAAUUGCAUUCCAAACUGAGUACCUAGAGUCUGAUAGAGGGAAGUGGAAUUCCCGGUGUAGCCG